UGCCACAGCCAUAUCAACCUGCAGCCCAAGACCGGUUACUCACUGAAGCUAAGCAGGUCUGAGCCUGGUCAGUACCUGGAUGGGAGACCACUAGGGAACACUAGGUUGCUGUUGGAA
rnacentral:rRNA from 1 species